UUAGAUUCAAAUUUAAAGACUGGAAUUUUUUUUAUAUAUUAUAUCAUAUUAAAUUUGUUCGGGUUCGGGUUCGGGUUCGGGUUCGGGUUCGGAUUCGGGUCGGGUUCGGGUCGGGUACAGUCAAUAUCCAUAUCCAAAUCCAUAUCCGUCGGGUUUUUAUUUUUGAUAUCCAUAUCCAAAUCCAUAUCCAUUUACAUCGGAUAAAAUUCGCUCCGUUCGGGUUUGGAUUCGGAUAAAAUUCGGAUAUCCAUAUCCAUUUACAUCCCUAAUCAUGGAAUACGUGAAUUUAAAAGAAGCAAUCUGACCGGCUAAAAAUAUCACACUAAUAAUAGUAUAACGGGUAUAUUCUAGACU
rnacentral:lncRNA from 1 species